AUAUCAAUAAGCGGAGGAAAAGAAACCAACUGGGAUUCCCGUAGUAAGGGCGACUGAAGUGGGAAAAGCUCAUCCUGAAUCGGAGGGACUUGCGCCUGACCGAGAUGUGGGGUUGAGGACAACUUAUAGGGGAAGAUUGACUUUAAGUGCUCUGGAAAGUGACGCCAUAGAGGGUGAUAGCCCCGUUAAGGUCGAUCUGAACUGUUUUUGUUGAUCCGAAGAGUCGGGUUGUUUGGGAGUACAGCCCUAAGUGGGAGGUGAAUUCCUUCUAAAGCUAAAUAUGGACGAGAGACCGAUAGCGAACAAGUACCGUGAGGGAAAGGUGAAAAGAACUUUGAAAAGAGAGUUAAAAGUACGUGAAAUUGUUAACGGGGAAGCGAUCAAAGGACCUUGUAUGGCAUCAGGCAUUCAACUAUUCGGCGGUGCACAGGCUGUAGACAGAACCUGGUUUACCAGGGCUUCUGCGGCUUGAUGCGCCGUCGGGUGGCGCAUUUUGCCUGGUGUCCAGCCACACGAGUUCGUUCUCCGGGAAAUACCCUGGAGGAAGGUAGUGGGCUACGGUCCGCGUUAAGCCUUCAGGGGGCGCCGGAGGAUGGACUGAGGGGCCUAAUGGG
rnacentral:rRNA from 1 species